AACGAUGAAGCCCAGCUUGCUGGGUGGAUUAGUGGCGAACGGGUGAAGUAACACGUGAGUAACCUGCCCUGGACUCUGGGAUAAGCGUUGGAAACGACGUCUAAUACCGGAUAGGACCUCUGACCGCAUGGUUGGGGGUGGAAAGUUUUUUCGGUCUGGGAUGGACUCGCGGCCUAUCAGCUUGUUGGUGAGGUAAUGGCUCACCAAGGCGUCGACGGGUAGCCGGCCUGAGAGGGUGACCGGCCACACUGGGACUGAGACACGGCCCAGACUCCUACGGGAGGCAGCAGUGGGGAAUAUUGCACAAUGGGCGAAAGCCUGAUGCAGCAACGCCGCGUGCGGGAUGACGGCCUUCGGGUUGUAAACCGCUUUUAGUAGGGAAGAAGGGCUUCGGCUUGACGGUACCUGCAGAAAAAGGACCGGCUAACUACGUGCCAGCAGCCGCGGUAAUACGUAGGGUCCGAGCGUUGUCCGGAAUUAUUGGGCGUAAAG
rnacentral:rRNA from 1 species